rnacentral:lncRNA from 1 species
GUGAUCUCAGCUCACUGCAACCUCCGCCUCCCAGGUCACAUCUGGCAGCCUCAGCUCUCUGGAUUCUUAACAGAACCAAGAAGCAAGUAAAACAAAUAAUUGAACUGGCAGCCCAAGUCAAUGUCAGAAAAGUUUAUAAACUCCAGGGUUGCAUUUUGUUCCUAGUUAUUGCCCCAGAGGCUAGUGGGGGCGGCGGGGAAAGCUUGGCACAUUUCUUGAAUGCAAGCACAAUCAGAAUUGCCAUGCAGCCUAUUUGUCCUAUCUUUGAUACAAUUCUAAUAAGCUUAGUUAUCUGAUUUAUCAGUCCCUGGUAGACUGCAAGCUAGGCAGAGAACUAGGGCAACAAGACACAGGAAAUGGGAAAUAGAAAUAGCAGUUAACUUCUUUCCUGCAAGUGUAUCCAUCUGUAGCAUUCCUUCCUCCUCUCCAGUCUCAGAGUAGGUUUUCUUUUCCUGGUUAAACUGAGGCAAACAGUUAUGUCAUCAAGGCCCAUUUAUAUCUCUUUUCCCAUUACUAAGUGACCCCAGAUUGUUAUGUAUUGAGUUCUUAAUGUCUUACGCUUUUGGAAUUCAAUCUCUUAACUUGUAGGAGAACUUGUACCAUUCAGCAUCUUCUGUCAAUUGCUAAUGGCUGUUUCCCUCAUCCUAUUUAAGUUCUUCUAACCUUAAGCUAUCCUUUCUUGUCCCUAUGUCCCCCUUCUAAUUACCUCCCUUUUGUCCUGCCUUAAUCAUUCUAAACUUCUCAAAAUGAGUAUUGUAUUUGUUACCCUGCCCAAGUUCUUGAUGUCCUAACCAAUCACUUCCCAUUCCCUCUUAAACCUGCAGCAAUUUUACUCAUAUCUCCCACCCUUCAUAUUGCUAGAGGCAAUGGACAUGUUUCAAAGCUUUCUACUAUUAUUUGCUGUCUUUCCACCUUAAUUGAAACGUUCCAUCCUUAGCUUCUCUGGCGCCAUUUUCUAUCUGCCCUUUUACAUCUUUUUCCUACUCCAUUGUCUAUCCCACAGGUAUUGGUGUUCCCAAGGGUUUUUGUCUCUGAUCCUCUUUUUAUUCUACUUCCCCUUACUGAGAAAUGUUCUUGCCCAUGUUUUAACUACCACUUAGGUUCAUAUAGCCACUUGGUUAGGACAUAGUGAUUUUUUUUUUUUUUUUGAGAUGGGUUCUCGAUAUGCUGCCCAGGCUGGUCUUGAACUCCUGGGCUCAAACAGUUCUCCCAUCUCAGCUUCCCAAGUAGCUAGGACUACAGGCGUAAGCUACCAUGCUCAACUAAGGACACAGAUAUCUUAAACUCACAUAUCUAAAACUGAGCAUCUCUCUCUUCCACGUAUCCUUUUUACCACCUGUUCCAUAUAACUACAAAAAACUGAAAUGCAUAUAUUCUUCCUCUUUUAUAGAAUGGCACCAGCAUCUACAUAAUCAGUCAAGUGUGGAAUUGGAAACCAUUCUAUUAUCUCCUCCUCGUACACCCCCUACAUCCGUUUGGUCAAUUUUGCCUUCUAAUUUGAUCUCCAGUCUGUGCCUUCUGCUUUUCUUCUGCACUUCAUUAAUCCAGCUCAGGACAAUAUUAUUGGUUACCUGGACUCUAGUGAUAAAGAUAUGUCCUACCUUACUACCUCCAUCUGCCAUAACUUCUGAAAUGAAAUCCUGCUUAAUAUCCUGCUGCUGAAUUUUUUUUUCAUCAGGAUAAGGCCAGACUACCUAAGAGCAUAUAGUACCUUUGUGACCUGGGUCCCUGCACACUUUUUCUGCCUUCUAUCCAGCCAAAAAUACCUUUUGAUCCAUUGUUCUAGCUCUGCCAACCUGCUUGCGUUUCCCUUGAAGUGCUAUGUCUUUUUACUCUCCAUAUUUUUGUCUGUGCUAUUUCUUAUACCUGGAAUGCCCUUCCCCCAUUACUUGCAUCAUUAAUUCCUAUUCAUUCUUAAAAUCUCAGCUCAAGUGUCACCUUUUCAAAGUGUGUCUUAUGUAAUAAGGCUGAACUUGAGUGUGCCUCUGAAAUUUUUCCAUGGCACUUUGUGUUGCCUACUCCUACCACAACACAUUUUGAAAUUAUAACCACUGAUUUUUCUUGUCUGACUCUAACACUAGACUGAGCAUCUUGAGGCAAACAGUUAUGUCAUCAGGGCCCACUUAUAUCUCUUAUAUCUCUUUUCCCAUUAGUAAAUGAUCCCAGAUUGUAAUGUAUUGAGUUCUUAUGUCUGCUUUGUAUAGUUGUUCAUUCAGUGAGUUAAUACUUAACAGCAAUAUUUGAAGCAUUGUGCUUCUUCGACAUCAUAACAGUUUGCCUCUGAAAGCUCACGGCCUGAUCAUCAAGGCAAGGCUAAUUAGAUUUGUUCAUUAUGUUCUGUUUAAGAAAUCUGGGAACUAUGUGACCAUGUUAUACAUUUUUCAUCCAAAAUGACUGCAUUUUUACUUGGUACUUAAAAGUGUAUUAUUUGGUUAUUUGGAAAAUCACUUUUGUGGAACAUCUCAUUUGCUGAUAAUGAAAUGCCAAUGACUUGUUACCUUGGUAUAAAAAACCAAAAUAUGCGUGUUAGGAAGUGCUGUCAUUUUACUCAAAAUACACAGAUUUGAAAGUUU